UUAUUGGAGAGUUUGAUCCUGGCUCAGGACGAACGCUGGCGGCGUGCCUAAUACAUGCAAGUCGAGCGGGGUUU
rnacentral:rRNA from 1 species